rnacentral:lncRNA from 1 species
CCAUCUCUCUGAUUCUCUGGGCCUCCCAUGGUCACAGUCUCCCUUUCUUCCCACAGAGCACUUGUCCUGGGGUCCCCUGGUACCCUGUGGAGAUCGUGGUGGAGGAUGUGGGAUGACAAAGAGGAGAGGCAAUGGGCCAGAGUGUCUCAAGGCACUCUGAGGAGAGACAGAGGUGGAACAGGACAGACCCACGGACCCUGAGAGGAGACAGACAUGCAGACUUCCAGACCUUCAGGGAGAAAGACUUCCUCCCACCUCGGGGACGAAUAUACUGACACACCACUCCCAGGGACAGAGACAUGGACCACAGACACCUAGACCCUCAAAGAAGGCAAACAGAUUCCCAGAGGGACAGGCUCCCUCCAACCACACCGGAAAGAGAAGCAAAUAAACCUUCAGAGGGGACACGUGGGUCCUCAGAGAGACGGAUGAACAGAGCGCGUGUCCCCUCCACGCAGGGAUAGAAGCAGACCCUGGAGAGAGUGACCAUGAGCUUCCAAAGGGGGGGCAGACAGACUGUCCACAGGGACAGACCCACAGGAAGACUCUCCCAACCCCCUCAACAGGGACAGAUAAAUAAAACAUCAGAGAGGACCAGCACGCAGACACCGAGGGGGACGGACACCAAAUCCUCAAGGGAAUUGACACAGAGCCCCUCUGCACCUCCAGGUUCAGUAGAGCCUCUUCCAUAAGCGGAUAGAUACUCAGACUCCCUGUCCCCAGCGGUUCAGGCCAUACAAAGCCACCUCUGCCCCUCUAGCUGAAUCCCAUCCCCUACUGUGUCCCUUUCUCUGUCAGCCACCACUCCGUGGCCCACCCCCAAGCUCUAGACCCACAGAAUCCAGGUCUGGUGAGCUCUGAGCUGCCACUGCUGGGUCUCCAGGCCCUCAUCUCCAGGGAGCCAGGGGAAGGGACAGACUCACCCAGUGAGCGGGGCUGAACCGAUUCAUGACCACCGCAGGGCCAAAAGAGCGGGCUGGGUUCAUGGAGCAGCCAGUGAAGUAGAUCUGGAUAGAGACAGGGCGGUGGAGAGAAAGGCAACAUCCUGGUCCACUCCCACAGAAUCUGGACUCUCUCAAGGUUACACUGCAGUCCAGGGGCUCAGCCAGGUCUCAAACUCAGGCUGGCAACCUCUCCCUCCAAGGAUCCCAGCUGCUUGGUUAACCAUGGACCCUUAACUACGCCCUCCUCUCUUCUCUGCUCUGAGGUUGGGUUUGAUUCCUGUCCCAUCCCACCUCCUACUUACUCCCAUCUUUCCUCAGCCCAGAGGUUUUGGGGGGAUCAAUUCUGGGGCCCAGUAGGGCCAGAGUCCAGGAGCCCUAAAUCCAGGCCUUAAACUCUGCUGGAC